rnacentral:rRNA from 1 species
AACGAACGCUGGCGGCAUGCCUAACACAUGCCAGUCGAACGAGACCUUCGGGUCUAGUGGCGCACGGGUGCGUAACGCGUGGGAACCUGCCCUUAGGUUCGGAAUAACUCCCCGAAAGGGGUGCUAAUACCGGAUAAUGUCUUCGGACCAAAGAUUUAUCGCCUUUGGAUGGGCCCGCGUUGGAUUAGCUAGUUGGUAGGGUAAAAGCCUACCAAGGCGACGAUCCAUAGCUGGUCUGAGAGGAUGAUCCGCCACACUGGGACUGAGACACGGCCCAGACUCCUACGGGAGGCAGCAGUGGGGAAUAUUGGACAAUGGGCGAAAGCCUGAUCCAGCAAUGCCGCGUGAGUGAUGAAGGCCUUAGGGUUGUAAAGCUCUUUUACCCGGGAUGAUAAUGACAGUACCGGGAGAAUAAGCUCCGGCUAACUCCGUG